rnacentral:rRNA from 1 species
CAAUAGCGUAUAUUUAAGUUGUUGCAGUUAAAAAGCUCGUAGUUGGAUUUCGGAUGGGACUUGCCGGUCCGUCGUUUCGAUGUGCACUGGCCAGUCCUAUCUUGUUGUCGGGGACUAGCUCCUGGGCUUCACUGUCCGGGACUAGGAGCUGACGAGGUUACUUUGAGUAAAUUAGAGUGUUCAAAGCAAGCCUACGCUCUGAAUACAUUAGCAUGGAAUAACACGAUAGGACUCUCGCUUAUCUUGUUGGUCUGUGAGACCAGAGUAAUGAUUAAGAGGGACAGUCGGGGGCAUUCGUAUUCCAUUGUCAGAGGUGAAAUUCUUGGAUUUAUGAAAGACGAACUUCUGCGAAAGCAUUUGUCAAGGAUGUUUUCAUUAA